rnacentral:rRNA from 1 species
UAGUCCACGCCGUAAACGAUGAGUGCUAGGUGUUGGGGGUCAAACCUCGGUGCCGUCGCAAACGCAAUAAGCACUCCGCCUGGGGAGUACGUGCACAAGCAUGAAACUCAAAGGAAUUGACGGGGACCCGCACAAGCAGCGGAGCAUGUGGUUUAAUUCGUGGCUACGCGAAGAACCUUACCAGGACUUGACAUAUAUAUGAGGGGACAUAGAGAUAUGAAACCGAGGGAAGCUUGCUUCACACAUAUAUAC